rnacentral:rRNA from 1 species
AAUAGAUACCCAGGUAGUCCACGCCGUAAACGAUGAGUGCUAAGUGUUAGGGGGUUUCCGCCCCUUAGUGCUGCAGCUAACGCAUUAAGCACUCCGCCUGGGGAGUACGGUCGCAAGACUGAAACUCAAAGGAAUUGACGGGGGCCCGCACAAGCGGUGGAGCAUGUGGUUUAAUUCGAAGCAACGCGAAGAACCUUACCAGGUCUUGACAUCCCGUUGACCACUGUAGAGAUAUAGUUUCCCCUUCGGGGGCAACGGUGACAGGUGGUGCAUGGUUGUCGUCAGCUCGUGUCGUGAGAUGUUGGGUUAAGUCCCGCAACGAGCGCAACCCUUGAUCUUAGUUGCCAUCAUUUAGUUGGGCACUCUAAGGUGACUGCCGGUGACAAACCGGAGGAAGGUGGGGAUGACGUCAAAUCAUCAUGCCCCUUAUGACCUGGGCUACACACGUGCUACAAUGGACGAUACAAACGGUUGCCAACUCGCGAGAGGGAGCUAAUCCGAUAAAGUCGUUCUCAGUUCGGAUUGUAGGCUGC